GACGUAGGGGGCCAGCGUUGUUCGGAAUUACUGGGUGUAAAGGGUUCGUAGGCGGUGCGGCAAGUUGGGAGUGAAAUCUCUGGGCUUAACCCAGAGGCUGCUUCCAAAACUGCUGUGCUUGAGUGUGGGAGAGGCGCGUGGAAUUGCAGGUGUAGCGGUGAAAUGCGUAGAUAUCUGCAGGAACACCCGUGGCGAAGGCGGCUGGCUGGACCGCAACUGACGCUGAGGAACGAAAGCCAGGGGAGCGAACGGG
rnacentral:rRNA from 1 species